rnacentral:misc_RNA from 1 species
AAAGAACUCAAAGUGUGAAGUGGAUAAUGAGUGUUCUGUCUGUUGAGUGGAACAUUUAGUUGGUUCAGUCUAUGCAAAGUCCGUUUUAUCUGUGAUUUCGGUGGUCUUCCUGGUGAUUUCCUUUAUGGAGCUUUCAGGACACUCCAUUAAUGCCCUCUGCGAUAAAACCAAUUAGUUAACAUGGGAGGAAGUGACUCUAGAAUUAAAGUCGGAUGAUCAAGUUGCUUAGAAUUUCUCAAAUCUGGUUCUAGUAGGGAAAGUAAUUUCAACAAAAGGGGUGUCUCUUGCUCACUUACGCAGUGUUCUAAAGCAGGUAUGGAAUUUGGCGUUUAGUUUUGAAAUCCAAUCUUUGCCAGAUAUGAAGAAUUGCUUUUUGUUUAAUUUUACACAUGAAAGGGAUAAGAGAAAGGUCAUAAAGGGUGUUCCCUGGUCAAUUAAUAAUUCUCUUCUGGUACUCAAACCAUGGCGCACUCAUUUGAAAGUGGAAGAGAUAAAUUUCUAUAGAACCCCUUUCUGGAUUCAAGUUCAUGGAUUACCAUUAAACCAGAUGACUAGAAGCAAUGCCUAGUUAAUUGUUAAUCUUUUUGAGGAUUUGAUUGAGGUAGAUUUUGCUUCCAAUCCAUAUGCUUCUGUUGGUAGUUGUAUGAGAUUGCGGGUGGAAGUUAAUAUUAGAAAGCCUCUCAUGGAAGGAUUUACUAGUAAAACUCUAGAUGGUCAGCUUGAAAGGGUCUGGUUUCGUUUUGAGAGGCUUCCUGAAUUCUGCUAUAUGUGUGGACUAUUGGCACACCAAAUAAAUGCUUGCCCAAAUAUAUCUCGAGUCACUGGAGAGAUAAACCGAAGUAAAAGGCAGGAAUUUAGACCCUGGAUGCGUGCAAAGAUUUUUUAUGCUAAACCUCGUUUUUCCUUGGCUAUGGAGAAAAAGGUGGGAGAAAGAUCUGGUGAAACAAGGCAACCCAGAUUGCAGGGGCGAAUCAUAGAGCGUGGAUCGCAUGAAGUUCCCAGGGAGAGUGAAACAAGCACUCCACAUAUUCCUAACAUUGGCAAUAUGGAUAUGGUUUUUGCCUAGAGCCUUUAACUAGCAGUACUCAACCUUUAAAUAUCUCUGCCGCUCCCAUCAUAAACCUGCAAAGCUCAACCAUCACCUCGAUCAUACAAAACCAGAAGCUAUCAAUUUCUUUUAUCCCUUUGGGGGUGGAGAGUACUUCCUCUGGAAAAAAUGAUGUUACACAUAAGAUGGCUUUUCAAGGCUUUUCUUUUGAUAUCUAUGUUGAUAGGGAUUUGGGAUCUCAACCCCUUAAAAGAAAAUAGUCUCCUUUCCAAUUCCAAGCUACUAAAAACCCCAAUGACUUCUCCCUAAAAAGCCAAUUUUCAAGCCCAACAGAGACCUUUCCAAUGGCCUAAUUUUUGCUCUUCAUCCAACUUAUCUUGGGCUGAAAUUAUUGGAAAGCCUGUGUUUAUUCCUCUGAGCAACCUAGUCUUAACUCUCAAAAACAUUAAACUUUGCCAGUAUAAUACGUCUGGAGCCAACCCAACGCCGAGUAUCCAAAUUGAAUUUCUUAAUAACACAGGUUCAUCCUCUAGUCCAGUUUGUUGUCCUCCAAAACCCAUAAAACCAAAGAUGAAGAUGUUGGCUCGUAAAGUCUGGAAUUAUUCUGUUGAAGAAUCUACAGAGGUGAUUACUUCCACUUUAUCCACUCAAGUUUGUUAAAAUUUGCACCAAGAGUCUGCCCCCUUUUCUGAGGCUUCGGUGGCUAGCCUAAAGCCACCAGAGGAACAAUGACGACCAUUAGUUGAAAUUGUCAAGGGGCAGGGCACCCCUUGACAAUGAAAGCUCUAAGGGAGCUUGUUUAAUAUUACCAGCCCACUUUUGUUUUUUUAUCAGAAACUAAGAAGUCUUCUUUUUUGGAAAAGUGGAAAUAUCGCAUGGGUUUUUAACAAUCAUGGUAUGUGGAGCCAGAAAAUCAAGGGGUUUGGCGUUGUAGUGGAGGGCCAAUUGCCAUAUUCAAAUUUUGCAAUCCAGUAAGAGAUGGAUUGAUGUCCUGGUGUCUCAAUGGUUUUUGAGCCAUAUUUCUUUUGUGUAUGGAGACCCAGAUGUCCAGGGGCUCAUUUCUUUUCUUAAUUCUUUGAAAUUUUCAAACAUGCACAAUGGUUUGCCAUGGCUUAUCAUUGGAGAUACUAAUAUUUGUAGUAGCAUGGGGGAUAAGUGGGGAGCUGGUGGUAUAAAUGCUCGGAUUGCAAAUGCUUUUCACUCUUUCUUGUUUGAUGAAGCUUUAGAGGAAUUGCCAUUUUGUGGGCCUCGAUUCACCUGGUCAAACAAGCAGGAUGGGUUUGCUAGAAUUAUGGAGAGAUUAGACAAAGCCAUUAUUAAUCUUGAUUGGAGCUUUCAGUUCACUCAGAGUAUUUUGAUUCAUGAAAAAAUGAUUGCUUCUGACCAUAGGCCUGUUGUUCUCUUACUAAAGCCGAUGUGUAAAAGAGCUAGAAAUACCUUUAAAUUUGAUAUCAGGUGGUCUGCCUUUGAUGCUUGUAAUGUCUUGAUUAAGGAGUUAUGGAUUUCUUCUUCAAACUAGUUGCUCAGGAAACUAGAAAGAUGUAAAUAUCUCUUACAAAACUGGAGCCAAAAUCACUUGGGAGACACUCAUCAUCGUAUUAAGGCUCUCUUGAAGAAAUGGAUGCUCUUCAUUCUUCAGCAUAUCCUACUUUAUUGCACGAUGAAAUAGAGGUAACAAAAUCUCAGUUGCAAUAGUUAUGGAAGCUUGAGGAGAUGUACUGGUAUCAAAGGUCAAGGAUCAAUUAGGUUACUCAUGGCGAUCGAAAUACCCAUUUUUUCCAUGCUCCUACAACUCUAAGAUGACAGAGAAAUUAGAUUCUCAAAAUCUAGGAUGGAGCAGGGAAUUGGAUUCUGGAUAAUAGUUUGGUAAAACAAGAAGCUCUUCAGUUUUUUAAAGAUUUGUUUGCCGAAAAGGAAAGUGUGUUCUUAGAUGAUAUCUUGCAAGUUAUCCUGGUUGUUAUCACGGAUGCCAUGAAUGAUAUAAUGUGUAGUCUAGUAUCAGAGGAAGAAAUUAAGGUUGCUCUAUUUGGGAUGGGAGCAUACCAAGCCCCGGGACCUGAUGGUUAUCUAGGUUUUUUUCUAUCAGAAGUAUUGGGACUUUAUUAAAUCUGAUCUUAUUGCUUUGGUAAUGGAUUUUUUUCUCUUUUGGAGUUAUGCCUAGCCAUCUUAAUGCAACUAGU